rnacentral:rRNA from 1 species
GACGAACGCUGGCGGCGUGCUUAACACAUGCAAGUCGAACGGAAAGGCCCUGCUUUUGUGGGGUGCUCGAGUGGCGAACGGGUGAGUAACACGUGAGUAACCUGCCCUUGACUUUGGGAUAACUUCAGGAAACUGGGGCUAAUACCGGAUAGGAGCUCCUGCUGCAUGGUGGGGGUUGGAAAGAUUCGGCGGUUGGGGAUGGACUCGCGGCUUAUCAGCUUGUUGGUGGGGUAGUUGCUUACCAAGGCUUUGACGGGUAGCCGGCCUGAGAGGGUGACCGGCCACAUUGGGACUGAGAUACGGACCAGACUCCUACGGGAGGCAGCAGUGGGGAAUAUGGCACAAUGGGCGGAAGCCUGAUGCAGCAACGCCGCGUGCGGGAUGACGGCCUUCGGGUUGUAAACCGCUUUCGCCUGUGACGAAGCGUGAGUGACGGUAAUGGGUAAAGAAGCACCGGCUAACUACGUG